rnacentral:rRNA from 1 species
UACGUAGGAGGCAAGCGUUGUCCGGAAUUACUGGGCGUAAAGCGCGUGUAGGUGGUGGGACAAGUCUGCUGUGAAAGCGCCUGGCUUAACCGGGCGAGGUCGGCGGAAACUGUCACACUUGAGGACGGUAGAGGGGGGUGGAAUUCCCGGUGUAGUGGUGAAAUGCGUAGAGAUCGGGAGGAACACCUGUGGCGAAGGCGGCCCCCUGGGCCGGUCCUGACACUGAGACGCGAAAGCGUGGGGAGCAAACAGG